rnacentral:misc_RNA from 1 species
GGUUGAAAAUCUGUCAUCCUCACACAAUCCCUACCCCACCUCACACCACCCACACUCAAAAUUACCACCUAUAAAUUAUAAUAAUCCCGCUUUAAUUUCACGAAAUACACAUAAUUACCCAUAAAAAUAAAAUUUUAAAAAAUAAUGACUCUCUUCAAAUCCGAAACCGAAUCCUAAAUUCAGUUUCAAACUAGUAAAAAAAACUGAAAAAAAAAAGGGAAAAGAAAAAGAAAAGAAACUAUGCCCUAAUUGGAUUCUGAUCGAUAGAGUCUGAAUUCAUAUCACCUAUGACGCUGUACGUAUGUUUUGAAAGCGUUUCUGUUUCUAUUGUCUCUCUUUCAUAUUCUUUCCUGUAUCAAAGUGACAGAGAAACCAAAGCCCUAACUUUCUUUUCUAUUGGUAUACAGAAAGAAAGACAGAAAAGGAGAGAAAAUGUGAAGUGUAAAGAGAAAAAUUGUUGAAGAAGAAGAAGAAAAGAGAGAGAUCAUACAAGAGGAUGAUAUCACAAUUCAUAAAAUACAUGAUAGAGAGAGAGAGAUUUUAGAGAGAGAAUCAAAUAAGCUCUUUAGAGAGAGAAAACGUAGGCAAUAGGUGCGUCUCGGUUCGAUUUUUU